GAGCAGAGGAUGCAAGCGUUAUCCGGAAUGAUUGGGCGUAAAGCGUCUAUAGGUGGCUUUUUAAGUCCGCCGUCAAAUCCCAGGGCUCAAACCCUGGACAGGCGGUGGAAACUACCAAAGCUGGAGUACGGUAGGGGCAGAGGGGAAUUUCCGGUGGAGCGGUGAAAUGCGUAGAGAUCGGAAAGAACACCAACGGCGAAAGCACUCUGCUGGGCCGACACUGACACUGAGAGACGAAAGCUAGGGGAGCGAAUGGG
rnacentral:rRNA from 1 species